rnacentral:rRNA from 1 species
CUUGGUCAUUUAGAGGAAGUAAAAGUCGUAACAAGGUCUCCGUUGGUGAACCAGCGGAGGGAUCAUUACCGAGUUUACAACUCCCAAACCCCUGUGAACAUACCACUUGUUGCCUCGGCGGAUCAGCCCGCUCCCGGUAAAACGGGACGGCCCGCCGGAGGACCCCUAAACUCUGUUUCUAUAUGUAACUUCUGAGUAAAACCAUAAAUAAAUCAAAACUUUCAACAACGGAUCUCUUGGUUCUGGCAUCGAUGAAGAACGCAGCAAAAUGCGAUAAGUAAUGUGAAUUGCAGAAUUCAGUGAAUCAUCGAAUCUUUGAACGCACAUUGCGCCCGCCAGUAUUCUGGCGGGCAUGCCUGUUCGAGCGUCAUUUCAACCCUCAAGCCCUCGGGUUUGGUGUUGGGGAUCGGCGAGCCCUUGCGGCAAGCCGGCCCCGAAAUCUAGUGGCGGUCUCGCUGCAGCCUCCAUUGCGUAGUAGUAAAACCCUCGCAACUGGAACGCGGCGCGGCCAAGCCGUUAAACCCCCAACUUCUGAAUGUUGACCUCGGAUCAGGUAGGAAUACCCGCUGAACUUAAGCAUAUCAAUAAGCGGAGGA